UACAGAGGGUGCGAGCGUUAAUCGGAAUUACUGGGCGUAAAGCGCGCGUAGGCGGCUUUUCAAGUCGAUUGUGAAAUCCCCGGGCUUAACCUGGGAACUGCAGUCGAGACUGUCUAGCUAGAGUUCGGUAGGGGAGAUCGGAAUUCCUGGUGUAGCGGUGAAAUGCGCAGAUAUCAGGAGGAACACCGGUGGCGAAGGCGGGUCUCUGGGCAACAACUGACGCUGAGGAGCGAAAGCGUGGGGAGCGAACAGG
rnacentral:rRNA from 1 species